AGAAUACACACACCAUAAACCCACCACCAGCAACUCUUCAUACAAUGAUUAACUGCUCUUGUUUGACAUCUACUUUUCAGAUGCAUCUACAAGGACUCAUACAGUCAAACUCCAGUGGGGAUCCUCUGCUUCAAAUCAGAAAGUCCUCAGCUUAACCAUUCAAAGUGAGCAUCGUCUUGGACAGGAGUUUGGUGAUGGAUGAACUGGCCAACCUGCCUCAGGCCUUCUGUGUUCUUUUCGGACUGAUUUAUGCCCUGUACUUGGACUAUCCUAAGUGCAUGAAAAACAGUUUCCACUUUAUUCAGCAGGUAAUGAUCAACCUGGGAGGUAAGCUGACACCCAAAAUUCAAUCUUUGAAAAAAUAGCUAACAGUAAAACGGACCUCCCAAUUGUUC
ensembl:lncRNA